rnacentral:lncRNA from 1 species
AUUAAUUCCUUAAUUUCUCAAUCCCUGAGGUUUUUAAUUCCUUAAUUUCUUAAUUAAUUCCUUAAUUUCUCAAUCCCUUAAUUUCUUCCCCCCCCCCUUUUUUUACUUUUCCUUCCCGCAGGAUAUUUCCGAGCCCUUCGGGGGGACGGGACCCCAGGGAGCCCCGGCGGCGCCGGGAGCGCAACGACGGCGAAGCAGACACGUGUCCGGCGUCGGAUCAGCGCCGGUUUCCUUCCGCGCGC